rnacentral:rRNA from 1 species
GACGAACGCUGGCGGCGGGCUUAACACAUGCAAGUCGAACGGAAAGUCCCUUCUUUUGUGGGGUGCUCGAGUGGCGAACGGGUGAGUAACACGUGAGUAACCUGCCCUUGACUUUGGGAUAACUUCAGGGAACUGGGGCUAAUACCGGAUAGGAGCUCCUGCUGCAUUGUGGGGGUUGGAAAGUUUCGGCGGUGGGGGAUGGGCUCGGGGCUUAUCAGCUUGUUGGUUAGGUAGUGGCUUAGCAAGGGUUUGACGGGUAGCCUGCCUGAGAGGGUGACCGGGCAACUGGGGAGUGUGCUACGGGCGAGAGCCCUACGGGAGGCAGCAGUGGGGGAUAGUGCACGAUGGGGGCAAGCCUGAUGAAGCAACGCCGCGCGCGGGAUGAUGGACUUCUGGUUGUAAACCGCUUUCGCAUGUGCCGAAGAGUGAGUGACGGUAAUGGGUAAAGAAGCACCGGCUAACUACGUG